rnacentral:tRNA from 1 species
GGGCGCGUGGCCAAGCGGACAAGGCGAGAGGUUCCUAACUUCUAGAUCACGGGUUCAAAUCCCGUCGCGCCCG